rnacentral:rRNA from 1 species
UACGUAGGGUGCGAGCGUUGUCCGGAAUUAUUGGGCGUAAAGAGCUCGUAGGCGGUUUGUCGCGUCGACUGUGAAAACCUACAGCUUAACUGUGGGCUUGCAGUCGAUACUGGCAGACUUGAGUUCGGUAGGGGAGACUGGAAUUCCUGGUGUAGCGGUGAAAUGCGCAGAUAUCAGGAGGAACACCGGUGGCGAAGGCGGGUCUCUGGGCCGAUACUGACGCUGAGGAGCGAAAGCGUGGGGAGCGAACAGG